rnacentral:misc_RNA from 1 species
CGGCGUGUGUGCUACAAA